CCGCCGACGGUUCGUGGCGGCCUCCCCCGGGAGGCCGGCACGAGGCAAGAGGGAACCCGGUGGGAAUCCGGGACUGCCCCGCAGCGGUGAGUGGGAACGACCGCCGUCAUGAGCACUGGGAGCGAUCCCGGGAAGCGACGGCCAGUAGGUGGGCACGCGAGUGUCCGGGCCCGCGAGUCCGAAGACCUGCCGCCGGUGCGUGCGCCGA
rnacentral:ncRNA from 2 species